rnacentral:rRNA from 1 species
UACGGGGGGGGCAAGCGUUGUUCGGAAUUACUGGGCGUAAAGGGCUCGUAGGUGGCCAACUAAGUCAGACGUGAAAUCCCUCAGCUUAACUGGGGAACUGCGUCUGAUACUGGAUGGCUUGAGUUUGGGAGAGGGAUGCGGAAUUCCAGGUGUAGCGGUGAAAUGCGUAGAUAUCGGGAGGAACACCUGAGGCGAAGGCGGGCUACUGGGCCGAUACUGACGCUGAUGCGCGAAAGCCAGGGGAGCGAACGGG